ensembl:misc_RNA Y_RNA Y RNA
GGCUGGUCUGAGUGCAGUAGUAUUUGUAACUAAUUGAUCACAAUCAAUUAUAGAUUUCCUUGUACCUUCUCCACUCUCAUUGCUUCACUUGACUGGCCUGAA